rnacentral:rRNA from 1 species
AGUUUGAUCCUGGCUCAGAACGAACGCUGGCGGCAGGCUUAACACAUGCAAGUCGAACGGUUGUAGCAAUACAGCAGUGGCAGACGGGUGAGUAACACGUGGGAACCUUCCUAGGGGUACGGAACAACUCAGGGAAACUUGAGCUAAUACCGUAUACGUCCGUGGGGAGAAAGAUUUAUCGCCCUUAGACGGGCCCGCGUCGGAUUAGCUAGUUGGUGGGGUAACGGCCUACCAAGGCGACGAUCCGUAGCUGAUCUUAGAGGAUGAUCAGCCACACUGGGACUGAGACACGGCCCAGACUCCUACGGGAGGCAGCAGUGGGGAAUCUUGGACAAUGGGCGCAAGCCUGAUCCAGCCAUGCCGCGUGAGUGAAGAAGGUCUUCGGAUUGUAAAGCUCUUUUGCCAGGGACGAUAAUGACGGUACCUGGAGAAUAAGCCCCGGCAAACUUCGUG